rnacentral:rRNA from 1 species
AGGACCGCCGUAAUGAUUAAUAGGGAUAGUCGGGGGCAUCAGUAUUCAAGCGUCAGAGGUGAAAUUCUUGGAUUGCUUGAAGACUAACUACUGCGAAAGCAUUUGCCAAGGAUGUUUUCAUUAAUCAGUGAACGAAAGUUAGGGGAUCGAAGACGAUCAGAUACCGUCGUAGUCUUAACCAUAAACUAUGCCGACUAGGGAUCGGGCGGGGUUAGUAUUUUGACCCGCUCUGGCACCUUACGAGAAAUCAAAGU